rnacentral:rRNA from 1 species
GGAUUAGAUACCCUGGUAGUCCACGCCGUAAACGAUGUGUGCUAGACGUCGGGUGUUCGGCAUUCGGUGUCGCAGCUAACGCAUUAAGCACACCGCCUGGGGAGUACGGCCGCAAGGUUAAAACUCAAAGGAAUUGACGGGGGCCCGCACAAGCGGUGGAGCAUGUGGUUUAAUUCGACGCAACGCGCAGAACCUUACCAGCCCUUGACAUCCCGGUCGCGGGGAGUGGAGACACACCCUUUCAGUUCGGCUGGACCGGAGACAGGUGCUGCAUGGCUGUCGUCAGCUCGUGCUG